CCAUUCCAGAACUAAUAUUUGCUACAACCAGAGACUGAAAUGGUAUGACUGGAGCUUUAAAUAAUUUGGCUUUGACAGCUCCAUCAUUUUCUGAGAACUUGGGAACAGAAUUUGGGCUCUGCUUCUGCACUAUCCUAGGUUAUAAUGCCAUCCUUGCCUAAUGAGGGAGAUAACCAUGGAACCGCUCCUCUGACUUUGAGUUCAGAACUACCCUAUCAAAGCAUGAUUAAAAGAAAAGUCAGAAAGAAGAAGAAUGGAGUCAUCACUGCAAACGUCGCUGGCACAAAAUAUGAAAUUGUACGUGUAGUAAUACGAGAAAUGGGAUUUGUGAAAACACGUGAUGAAGAUGAAACAGCUAAUCUUAUAUGGAGUGAUUCUGCUGUGCAACAAGAGAAGAUUGCUGAACUGCGGAACUAUCAGAGAAUCAACCAUUUUCCAGGAAUGGGAGAGAUCUGCAGAAAGGAUUUUCUGGCAAGAAACAUGACUAAAAUGAUCAAGAGUCAGCCUCAGGAGUAUAGUUUUAUUCCUCGAACAUGGAUCUUCCCUGCAGAAUACACACAGUUUCAGAACUAUGUAAAAGAACUGAAGAAGAAACGUAGACAGAAAACUUUCAUAGUCAAACCAGCUAACGGUGCAAUGGGACAUGGGAUCUCUUUAAUAAGAAAUGGAGAAAAGUUACAAGCUCAGGAUCACUUGAUUGUUCAGGAAUAUCUUGACAAACCAUUUCUUAUGGAAGGCUACAAGUUUGAUUUACGUGUGUAUAUUCUUGUAACCUCCUGUGAUCCAUUGAAAGUAUUUUUAUAUCAUGAUGGACUGGUGAGAAUGGGCACAGAAAAGUAUCAUCCCCCCAGUGACUCAAAUUUGAGUCAAUUGUAUAUGCAUCUGACUAACUACUCUGUCAACAAACAUAAUGAACACUUUGGACGGGAUGAAACAGAAGACAAAGGAAGCAAACGCUCCAUAAAAUGGUUUACUGAGUUUCUAGAAACAAAUAAUCUUGAUGUCUCCAAAUUCUGGAGUGAUAUUUCAGAGUUAGUAGUGAAGACUCUCAUAGUUGCAGAGCCACAUGUUCUUCAUGCUUAUCGCAUGUGCAGGCCAGGGCAAGCACCAGGAAGUGACAGUGUCUGCUUUGAAGUCCUGGGAUUUGAUAUUCUGCUGGACAGAAAACUAAAACCAUGGCUCCUAGAGAUUAAUCGUGCCCCAAGCUUUGGAACUGAUCAAAAAAUAGACUAUGAUGUAAAAAAAGGUGUUCUGCUAAAUGCAUUAAAGCUUCUCAACAUACGGACAAGUGAUAAAAGGAGAAAUUUAGCUCAACAGAAGGCUGAGGCUCAAAAAAGACUGUAUGGUCAAGGUUCAAUGAAAAAACUGUUGCCCGGUUCCUCAGACUGGGAGAAGCAGCGCCACACACUGGAAAGGAGAAAAGAAGAACUGAAGGAAAGACUUGCACAAGUACGUAAACAGAUUUCCAAAGAGGAGCAUGAAAAUAGACACAUGGGGAACUACAGGCGAAUUUACCCUCCUGAUGAUAAGACAUUACUUGAAAAGUAUGAGAGUUUGUUAGCCACUGCUUUUCAGACGUUUCUUGCUGGAAGAGCAGCUUCACUUCAGCGGGAAAUGAAUAACCCUUUAAAAAGAAUGAAGGAGGAGGACAUUUUGGAUCUUCUGGAGCAGUGUGAAAUAGAUGAUGAAAAACUAAUGGGAAAAUGCACCAGGCAGCGAGGACCUAAGCCCUUGUGUUCAAUGCCAGAAAGUGCACAGCCCUUAAGAAAACUUAAGAACUACAGUAGUGAUAGUAGCUGUGAUAGCGGUAGCAGUGUGUCAGAAUCGGCAGAAGAAACUGAAAAGGAAGAUCACAAUGAAAAAAAAGAGAAAAAAGUUUCAUAUGAUCUUGAAGAAAACAAAUACAAAUCUUUGGAACGAUCGGGUAGAAUGAACUGGAAACCUUCGAUUAAAAAUAUAAAAUCUCCAUCAUAUUCAUCCCCCACAUCAUCCACAGGUCCAAUAAGGCGUUCUGUAAGCUGCCCUCGUUCAAUAUCGACUAUGCAGUCACAAGCAGCUGAGCAACGUCCCUUUUCAGCCAAAGCAUCUCUGCAAAUCCAGCGUGCAUCCUCAGUGAAUAGGUCUCAUUCUUUAAAUCGCAGCCCAUCUUCGGCCAGAGUCUCUCAGACACCCAGCUUGGGAGCUAUGAACUCUUCAGGGAGUGAGUCUUUGCUGCAACAGAAAACAAAAGAGCAAGAAGUUGCUUUGACAAAAGAGACUCUUCUCAUUAUCAAUGACAUGAGAAUGAAGUUCCCAGGUAAAACAGAUGAAGAAUCAGAAUUAAUUAUAGAAGAUAUUAUGGAUAAUUGGAAGUAUCAUAAAACAAAAGUGGCAUCCUAUUGGCUGGUGAAAUUGGAUUCUGUAAAGCAACGAAAAGUUUUGGAUAUAGUCAAGACAAGCGUUCGUGCAGUUCUACAGCGUGUCUGGAAGGCUCCAGACAUUGAAAAUUUACAUCUGUACCGUCUCUUUAACCGCGUAUUUAAUCGCUUGCUUUGGAGCCAUGGUCAAGGUCUAUGGAACUGUUUCUGUAAUUCAGGGAGCUCUUGGGAAACCAUAUUCAGUAAAAGCACAGAGGUGGUGACUCCUGAGCAACUCCAGUGUUGCCAACGAAUAGUACAGCUUUGUAAACACUGCCUGCUGGUGGUUUACAAAUAUUCAUCAGAUUCAAGAGGAUCCCCAACUGGGAUUAGCCCCCACUGGGGUGACACAAGAUCCCUCAAAGUCACUGAUUCCAGAUUUGCAUUCCUAGAGGUAUCCUAACAUGUAUGAUACUUCUGGCUUCACAUUCGCAGUGGGAUGCUAUAGGGGCACAGCUCCAGCCAAGGGUCAGGUAUUUAUUGCCAGGACCUUCACUGUUCAUCAUGAAAUCAUCCUCGUCCAACCUUAGCUGCAGUUCUUCUGGAAUGCCUCGCCCUAACAUUUUGUUCACACACAGAUACAGUCACUUGUGAAGCAAAAGGAAAGUUGCUGUUCUUUGUAAAUAAUGGCACUCCAUUUUUUUUCAAAUAACAAUUUGUGAUGGAGCUAAAUAUAAGCACUGUUAUAUAUUUACCACCAUAUUAUGAUAACAUUUAGCUGAAAACCUACUGUAAAAGCAUAGCUUUUCUGGAAACAUAAUAAACCUUGUUAAGUUGUUUACACACACAUGUGAAUGUGUAGAUCUUGCUAGGUUUAUAAGUAAUUCCUUCCUACUAGAAAUGUUAUUUUUGCUGCAGAAUAUAUAAAAUGGAAUUGAUCUUGAAGAUCCUAUUACAGCAUUACAUUAUUUUGUAAGUACAAUACUUUGACUUGAAUAUUAUUUAUUGUAAAGUAUACUAUUUAUUGUCUCAAAUGUAACUGAUACUUUAACAGGAAGAUGAUUAAAAAACUGUACUAGAACAGUAAAACUGCAACAGUCAUCGAAAAUAAUCUGAUCAUUUCUUGGACAUGUUUAAAAUAAUCCCCAGAACUCUGUAAACCAAACCUAAAGCAGACAUCUUUUUAUUUCUCCUCUGAAAUGACAAGAUCUAUUUAAUGCUGCUAUUUUUCUUAAAGGACAUGGUGUAGUAUCUUUUAGCCAAAGUGAAGGCAUCUAGUACACAAACAGUGAAAAUAUCAGUUUAGGCAUUCAGUUUCUAAUUGGAUUCUUGUAAUAAAACCGAAGCCAAUGUUUGGUACCAGAUUUUCAUUCACAUUACCGAUGUCCUGUGCCUUUAGGUUUCCUUUGGGAGCAAGCAGUCAUCUCCAACUUGCACAAGCAUGCAUAGCGCAUAGUUUUUCUGUUUUACUGCCCAAGCGGUAAAGCAGACAUUUUUAGGAAAUACUGCACCUAUAAUGUAUUACUGCAACCUUAAACUAAUUGGUUUGUGGUAGUUUUUAGCAUACAAUCCAGUACCUACUGUAGAAUGUAUCCUUGCAAUGGACAGUAUUUUCUAGAUUGCUGACACCUUUAAAUGUUGGAAAUCUAAUUCAUUAGAGAGCGUUCAUUCAGAUUCAGCUUCCUGGGCCUGGCUGGAGGGCACAAAAAGAAAAUGAGCCAGAGCAGGAACCUACCGUUAACAGGACUUGUAACCUGGAAACAUCAUUCAGGUUUUGCUACAUCCACCCAUUCAUCCCACUCAGCACUGUGCCAUAUGAGCCUUAUUCAUUAUAGAAAUAAUUAUUAAAAAAAUCAUUUAAGCUAGAUUUAAAAAUGAAUUAAGUUUUUUAACUGAGUAAAGAACAGAGUAGUUAUUAUUUACCAAAGACUUGUUUACUUACCAAUCAUGUAACCCUGAAACGUGUUUGUAAAUUAUCAAUAUAUUUCAGGUAUACUUAAAAAAAAUAAUUUGGGGGCUAGUUAUCCUCAGGAGCAAGUACGUGAGAGGUUUUUGAUAUCCAGAGAUUUAAGACAAAUUUGAGAGACUUAAGAGAUUUGAGACUGAAGUUGUCUGGAAAUGAUUUUUUUAAAUUUUAGUCAUAGCAUAUAUAAAACUGGGAAUUUGGGUGAGAUUUUUGAUGCCUGUGCUGUAGUGCCUCACCUCUAGAACUGCAGGAUAUGUGAUAAUGAGACUAUUUUUAAACAAUUAAAAACACCUCUUGAGAUUAGCCAGAGAUAAGCAGUCUUCUAGUCUGGAAAAGUCUUUUUCAUUUUUGUGGUAAUACUAGUUUAGUAAUAUAGUAUGUUCACGUUAAUUGUGUAUCUCUUUUGGUCCAUACAGUGACUACUGAUAAAGCAUACUAUCGUUAUCUGUAAGGCUUAAUAAAAUCUGUAAAUUCUCUCUUCUUGG